CAGGAAGCCGUCUGAACCCUUCGGGGGGACGACGGUGGAAUCAGUGGCGGACGGGUGAGUAACACGUAAANNNNNNNNCCAUAGGUCUGGGAUAACCACGAGAAAUCGGGGCUANNNNNGGNUGUGUCAUCGGACCGCAUGGUCCGCUGAUGAAAGGCGCUCCGGCGUCGCCCAUGGAUGGCUUUGCGGUGCAUUAGCUAGUUGGUGGGGUAACGGCCCACCAAGGCGACGAUGCAUAGCCGACCUGAGAGGGUGAUCGGCCACACUGGGACUGAGACACGGCCCAGACUCCUACGGGAGGCAGCAGUAGGGAAUCUUCCACAAUGGACGAAAGUCUGAUGGAGCAACGCCGCGUGAACGAUGAAGGCUUUCGGGUCGUAAAGUUCUGUUGUAAGGGAAGAACAAGUGCCGCAGGCAAUGGCGGCACCUUGACGGUACCUUGCGAGAAAGCCACGGCUAACUACGUGCCAGCAGCCGCGGUAAUACGUAGGUGGCAAGCGUUGUCCGGAAUUAUUGGGCGUAAAGCGCGCGCAGGCGGCCUCUUAAGUCUGAUGUGAAAGCCCCCGGCUCAACCGGGGAGGGCCAUUGGAAACUGGGAGGCUUGAGUAUAGGAGAGAAGAGUGGAAUUCCACGUGUAGCGGUGAAAUGCGGAGAGAUGUGGAGGAACACCAGUGGCGAAGGCGACUCUUUGGCCUAUAACUGACGCUGAGGCGCGAAAGC
rnacentral:rRNA from 1 species